UACGAAGGUGGCAAGCGUUAUCCGGAAUCAUUGGGUUUAAAGGGUCCGUAGGCGGGUGCGUAAGUCAGUGGUGAAAGCCUGCAGCUUAACUGUAGAACUGCCAUUGAUACUGCACACCUUGAGUAAUUAUGAAGUGGUUAGAAUAUGUAGUGUAGCGGUGAAAUGCAUAGAUAUUACAUAGAAUACCGAUUGCGAAGGCAGAUCACUAAUAAUUCACUGACGCUGAGGGACGAAAGGGUAGGUAGCGAACAGG
rnacentral:misc_RNA from 1 species